rnacentral:lncRNA from 1 species
CUCGGGAUAAAUAGGUACCAUAUCAUAUGUAUAACGAGAACAGACAUGACACAGCAAGUUGCUAGUAUAACUAGCUCACACAGGGGUCUGAAAGCUUUUCAGUCAAGGCAGUCGGGGAUCUGGAGAGGAAGAGGAAGUACCUUUACUCUAUUCCUUGGCAGAGGACGAAGGUAGCAGAUUAAAAGAGGAUAAGGGGGUGCCGCUAGCUUGAGUUAUAAAAGAGGGUACUCUUACAAAGC